rnacentral:rRNA from 1 species
UACAUAGGGGGCGAGCGUUAUCCGGAAUUAUUGGGUGUAAAGGGUGCGUAGACGGGAAAUUAAGUUAGUAGUGAAAUCCCUCGGCUCAACUGAGGAAUUGCUACUAAGACUGGUUUUCUUGAGUACUGGAGAGGAAAGUGGAAUUCCUAGUGUAGCGGUGAAAUGCGUAGAUAUUAGGAGGAACACCAGUGGCGAAGGCGACUUUCUGGACAGAAACUGACGUUGAGGCACGAAAGUGUGGGGAGCAAAC